GGGCUCGUGGUCUAGCGGUUAGGACGCCACCCUCACAUGAUCUAUCAUAAGUAAGAUCUGAAAUCGGUGGAAGUCCCCGGUUCAAAUCCGGGCGGGCCCA
rnacentral:tRNA from 1 species